rnacentral:rRNA from 1 species
GACGGAGGGGGCGAGCGUUGUUCGGAAUUAUUGGGCGUAAAGCGUGCGCAGGCGGUUGUGCAAGACAGAUGUGAAAUCCCCGGGCUCAACCUGGGAACUGCAUUUGUGACUGCACGGCUGGAGUGCGGCAGAGGGGGAUGGAAUUCCGCGUGUAGCAGUGAAAUGCGUAGAUAUGCGGAGGAACACCGAUGGCGAAGGCAAUCCCCUGGGCCUGCACUGACGCUCAUGCACGAAAGCGUGGGGAGCAAACAGG